AAAGCGUGCGCAGGCGGUUGUGUAAGUCAGAUGUGAAAUCCCCGGGCUCAACCUGGGAAUUGCAUUUGAGACUGCACGGCUAGAGUGUGUCAGAGGGGGGUAGAAUUCCACGUGUAGCAGUGAAAUGCGUAGAUAUGUGGAGGAAUACCGAUGGCGAAGGCAGCCCCCUGGGAUAACACUGACGCUCAUGCACGAAAGCGUGGGGAGCAAACAGGAUUAGAUACCCUUGU
rnacentral:rRNA from 1 species